GUUUUACCUUCUUGGACUACCUUCCUCUACCAUCGUCCAAAUAUGGAAAUCAUUACCAAAUAUGGAGACAAGUUAAGUAAGUUGUAUAAAUGGACAUUACUGUAGCAAAGGAGAAAUAAAUCUUCGGAACAAUUGGUAUCAAACCUGGGACCCUUGCAUUACUAGUUUGGUGAUCUAACCACAGAUCUACCCUGGCCGAUAUCCUGUCCUAUGAUACUGCGGGUCCUAUGAUACUGAGAAAUUAUACAAGAAUUCUUCAGAGCAAGGAGGCCCUGAAGCGUACUACCACACCACUGGAACGGUACGAAACAAUUCCUGCACGGAACAGUGGACGGUUUGCACAGAAUGCUGAUCACUUUGUAGGUGUGGCUUGCAUGUUUUGUGAACAAUCUGCACGAAAC